AUGACUCUAUAUAUAUCACCUCAGUGUGGCACCCCAUGAGGGUAGGGUAGUUUAGAUUUUUGUCCCAAUUGGCACCCCAUUCCCUCUAUAGUGCACUACUUUUGACCAGAGCUCUAUGGGGUCUGUGUGGGGAUCAUGUUGCAAUUUGGGACGUGCAGUAUUUGGCCCACUUCCCAGUGGGGCUGCGAGGUGUCCAGCUUUGACUUCAGAAUGGAUGUUAUUCUGGGGAAAUGGCUUCCUGGAACUGGACGUGGGUUCAGAAAACACUCAAAAUCUUUCAAACGCUUCCUAGUUCUGCCCUAGCCUCUCGGGUGAGCUGGGUCGGCCGCAUUUGCAAUUUGGAGACCAUUCGAUUGGUCCGUUGGGCCAGGCCUACAUCAGAUUGGUGCUUCUGUUCUCCGUGACCCAGGGCCUACAUCAGACUGGUGCUUCUGUUCUCCGUGACCCAGGGCCUACAUCAGAUUGGUGCUUCUGUUCUCCGUGACCCAGGGCCUACAUCAGACUGGUGCUUCUGUUCUCCGUGACCCAGGGCCUACAUCAGACUGGUGCUUCUGUUCUCCGUGAUGCAAGGCCUACAUCAGAUUGGUGCUUCUGUUCUCCGUGACCCAGGGCCUACAUCAGACUGGUGCUUCUGUUCUCCGUGACGCAAGGCCUACAUCAGACUCUAGAUCUCCUGCAUGCAUACUGUCAGACAUUUGCCCUGAUAGAGAAUCUAAGCAAGAAGUGAUUCAGCAAAAAAGGUCACAAUGCCAUGCAUUCACACAAGCGUUUUCUUAACAUUGAACUAAGUAUUUACCCUUAGGUAUUUGAAAAACCCUAAGGGGGUUAAUAGACAAAUAUAAGCCCUGGGCUAAUAGACAAAUACAACACAAGACCAAAUUACAUUAUGAUUGGACAGAG